rnacentral:rRNA from 1 species
UACGGGGGGGGCAAGCGUUGUUCGGAAUUACUGGGCGUAAAGGGCUCGUAGGUGGCCAACUAAGUCAGACGUGAAAUCCCUCGGCCUAACCGGGGAACUGCGUCUGAUACUGGAUGGCUUGAGUUUGGGAGAGGGAUGCGGAAUUCCAGGUGUAGCGGUGAAAUGCGUAGAUAUCUGGAGGAACACCGGUGGCGAAGGCGGCAUCCUGGACCAACACUGACACUGAGGAGCGAAAGCCAGGGGAGCAAACGGG